rnacentral:rRNA from 1 species
AGAGUUUGAUCCUGGCUCAGGACGAACGCUGGCGGCGUGCCUAAUACAUGCAAGUCGAGCGAAUCGACGGGAGCUUGCUCCCUGAGAUUAGCGGCGGACGGGUGAGUAACACGUGGGCAACCUGCCUAUAAGACUGGGAUAACUUCGGGAAACCGGAGCUAAUACCGGAUACGUUCUUUUCUCGCAUGAGAGAAGAUGGAAAGACGGUUUACGCUGUCACUUAUAGAUGGGCCCGCGGCGCAUUAGCUAGUUGGUGAGGUAAUGGCUCACCAAGGCGAUGAUGCGUAGCCGACCUGAGAGGGUGAUCGGCCACACUGGGACUGAGACACGGCCCAGACUCCUACGGGAGGCAGCAGUAGGGAAUCUUCCGCAAUGGACGAAAGUCUGACGGAGCAACGCCGCGUGAACGAAGAAGGCCUUCGGGUCGUAAAGUUCUGUUGUUAGGGAAGAACAAGUACCAGAGUAACUGCUGGUACCUUGACGGUACCUAACCAGAAAGCCACGGCUAACUACGUGCCAGCAGCCGCGGUAAUACGUAGGUGGCAAGCGUUGUCCGGAAUUAUUGGGCGUAAAGCGCGCGCAGGUGGUUCCUUAAGUCUGAUGUGAAAGCCCACGGCUCAACCGU